rnacentral:rRNA from 1 species
GAACGCUGGCGGCGUGCUUAACACAUGCAAGUCGAGCGGAUUUUAGCAGCACAUCGCUAGAAUUAGCGGCAGACGGGUGAGUAAUACUUGGGCAAUCUGCCCUUCAGAGGGAAACAACCUGCCGAAAGGCGGGCUAAUGUCCCGUAAGACCACAGGAUGGCAUCAUCUAGGGGUUAAAGCUCCGCAAGGGGCGCUGGAGGAGGAGCCCGAGUCCUAUCAUGGUAGUUGGCGGGGUAACGGCCCACCAAGCCUUUGACGGGUAGCCGGCCUGAAAGGGUGAUCGGCCACACUGGCACUGAGACACGGGCCAGACUCCUACGGGAGGCAGCAGUGGGGAAUUUUGGACAAUGGGGGCAACCCUGAUCCAGCGACGCCGCGUGAAGGACGAAGGUCUUCGGAUUGUAAACUUCUUUUGGAGGGGAUGAAUGCCUGAGUGAAAAACUCAGGGUGACAGUACUCUCUGAAUAAGCCACGGCUAACUACGUGCCAGCAGCCGCGGUAAUACGUAGGUGGCAAGCGUUACUCGGAAUCACUAGGCGUAAAGCGCAGGUAGGCGGUUUGGAAAGUCUGUUGUGAAAGCUCCCGGCUUAACUGGGAGAGGCCAACGGAAACUCCCAGGCUUGAGUGUGGUAGGGGUAACUGGAAUUCCCGGUGUAGCGGUGAAAUGCGUAGAUAUCGGGAGGAAUACCUAUGGUGAAAGCAGGUUACUGGGCCAUCACUGACGCUGAGCUGCGAAAGCUAGGGGAGCAAACAGGAUUAGAUACCCUGGUAGUCCUAGCCCUAAACGAUGCUCAUUAGAUGUGAGAGGUAUCGACCCCUUUCGCGUCGUAGCUAACGCAUUAAAUGAGCCGCCUGGGGAGUAC